CUAUUCACAAAAAUUGUUCUUUCAAAUAAUGACAUGUGGUGUGACGAGAUCGGUUAAAAAUCCUGUGACGACCCGUCCCUAAUUUUCCUAUGUAAUUUCUCCCCGAGUGUGUGAAAUGACUAUCAUGCCCUUAACGGCAAGUGACAUGAAUGCGUUUAUAUUAAUUUCUUUCGUUCGCACUUUUGUAUUUAAAUUUUUACAUGCGCGUACAAAUUUAUCAGUGUUUGGAACACUGUAACGAGGCAUGAAUUAUACAUCGAAAGUGUAUAAAAUCAUAAAAGAAUCCAUCGUUUCCCUAAAAAAGGGGAUCCGUGUCUCUAACUCGUCAGCCCUUUUUCCCCACAACCAUCUCCUUCACUCACCACCAAUCACCAUCCCUUCUUUUAUUUUGGCACCAAUCAGAAAACCCUUACCCUUCUCUUCUCUCUCUCUCAUUGUCGUGCUCCCCUUCUUCUCUGCAAGCUUCUCAAACUCUCUUCACAACCUGCAAACGUGACAAACAAACUACACCAUCAUGCUCAUCUCGACCCUAGGAACUCAACCAUACCCAUGGUUCACGUGUUGACCGAGUUUUGGACAUCCAACUCGAAAGGUUCGACUCGGUGAGUUUGAUACAGCUAUUUUCAGGCCAUUCAUGGCUUAGCACAAAAAGCUCGAGGUGAGGGAAGUUGCUCAAUUUUCUUUUUCCAACAAAGAGACCGUGGCCAUCUGGCCACUUGCAUCACAUUUUCAGGUCAACCUCGAUCACGACUGGACAUCUAAUAGAAGUGUUUUGGUUGAGAAUCGAGCUCGUUAGGCGCUCAGGAAGUUAGCCCAAAAAUCUGCAAAAAAUGCAGAAAAUCAUGGAGAAGGCGAGUUCACGCAUAAUCGUAGGCGCGUGAACGCGCGUGACCACCCACAUGCCAUCGGCACGUGUACCGCGUGGCAGGUUGUGCAACCCUUUGUGGCGGCCCGUCUGGCCUCCGGCCAGUGUGUGGUCGACAUGUGUGUGUCCGUGACGUCGAAUAGAUCGAUUUCAUAUAUUUAAACCCUAGGUUUAAGCAAACUAUGAGGGUUUUAUUUAGGUUUCCGUAUAUGUGCUUUAAUUAAUUCUAUUUUAGUUAUUUCACAUAUAGGGGAAACAUAUCCCUAGGAAUUACGGGGUCAGGCUAGGCUCGAGGGUUAUGACCCAGCGACGUACUUGUGAGUGGGUAGUUUAUUUUUAUGCCUAUACAUAUUUAUAGUUUCUAUAAAUGAGUAUUUACUUCACUUUUACGCUUAUUUUGCCAAGUAUCGUUAUUGUGAUAUUAAUUGUGAUAAAUGCUACUAUAUG